UACGUAGGGAGCAAGCGUUGUCCGGAAUCAUUGGGCGUAAAGCGCGCGUAGGUGGCCAUGUAAGUCCGCUGUGAAAGUCAAAGGCUCAACCUUUGAAAGCCGGUGGAUACUGCAUGGCUAGAGUACGGAAGAGGCGAGUGGAAUUCCUGGUGUAGCGGUGGAAUGCGCAGAUAUCAGGAGGAACACCAAUAGCGAAGGCAGCUCGCUGGGACGUUACUGACACUGAGACGCGAAAGCGUGGGGAGCAAACAGG
rnacentral:rRNA from 1 species